CUACUACUCCCUCCGUCCGAAAAUACUUGUCAUUGAAAUGGAUGCAUCUAGAUGUAUUUUAGUUCUAGACACAUCCAUUUUGAUGACAAGUAAUUCCGGACGGAGGGAGUAUUAU
rnacentral:pre_miRNA from 1 species